ACCUCCCACAAAGGCACACUUGCAUUGGUUGGCUUGCAAGUGUGUAACGACUGGAGGAACAAUGACGAGAAUGGAGAUAUUUGUGUUGCUUGUUGUUUCAGCAGCUAAGAUAUCAAUAUUCAUACAAAU
rnacentral:snoRNA from 14 species